rnacentral:rRNA from 1 species
CCUUUCCUUGUUUUCCCCGCCUAUAUACCACCGUCGUCAGCUUACCCUGUGAAGGACUUAUAGUAAGCAAGAUUGGCAUAGCCCAAAACGUCAGGUCGAGGUGUAGCGUAUGGAAAGGGAAGAAAUGGGCUACAUUCACUAGCAUAGUGAAACACGAAUGAUGCACUGAAAUACACAUCUGAAGGAGGAUUUAGCAGUAAGCAGAAAAUAGAGCGUUCCGCUGAAACUGGCCCUGAAGCGCGCACACACCGCCCGUCACUCUCCCCAAGCUCACUUAUCCUAAGUACCUAAGACAUUAAAACUGCAAAGGGGAGGCAAGUCGUAACAUGGUAAGUGUACCGGAAGGUGCACUUGGAAAAAU